UACAGAGGUCUCAAGCGUUGUUCGGAUUCAUUGGGCGUAAAGGGUGCGUAGGCGGCGCGGUAAGUCGGGUGUGAAAUCUCGGGGCUUAACUCCGAAACUGCAUUCGAUACUGCCGUGCUUGAGGACUGGAGAGGAGACUGGAAUUUACGGUGUAGCGGUGAAAUGCGUAGAGAUCGUGAGGAAGACCCGUGGCGAAGGCAGAUCUCUGGACGGCUAACUGACGCUGAGGCGCGAAGGCCAGGGGAGCAAACGGG
rnacentral:rRNA from 1 species